GGGGAUGUGGCUCAGUAGCAAAGCAUCUGCUUGGAAUGCAGGAGGUCCUAGGUUUGAUCCCCACUAUCUCCA
rnacentral:tRNA from 1 species